CCAGACUGUAGCAGGAUGAGCCACAGACAAAACUCCUGACACUGGAUUAAAGAAGAGGUUUUUAUUCGGCCGGCAGCAUCAGCAGACUCGCGUCUUAAGCUCCCCGAAAAAGAGAUUCUUGGCCUUUUUAAAGGCUUACAACUUUAAGGGGUCCACGUGAAAGGGUCGUGAUACAUCAAGCAAGUGUGGAAAACGUGAGUGGGGGCUGCAUGCAUCAGCUAACACAACAGAAAGUUUUACAAUGCUUUUUCGUAGUGUCUGGAAUUUACAGAUAACACAAGUAGUUUAGGUCAGUGGUUGAUGUUAUUAUUACUUUUUUUUUAACUCCUAGGGCCGGGUGGUGGUGCCAAGGUUGUCUGUUUAUCUUACUUUUGCAUUUUUUUUCCAACUUUUUGCAUUUUCUCUCCUCCUGUCUUGUGAACUAGGCAAGGUGGUGGGAGGAAGGCAGCAGGAGUAGUAGUGGUCUCCUUCCUUAAGACCACACUCCAAACUUUGGACCGUUGGUUUCAAGCCCGGUGGGUUCAGGUCAACCCACAGGCGAAUUUUCAAACAUUCUACACACCUGGGCUUGGGCACCCAGCUCCACAGCUGUCCCUGCAGACAGGAGCAGGGG
rnacentral:lncRNA from 10 species